rnacentral:snoRNA from 1 species
CUUCCCAUUUAUUUGCUGCUGUCGUCUCUCAAUGAUACGAGCAGUUAUACGCAUGGGAGAAAACAUGUGGGACCUAUGUGAAUAGAGAUGAAGCCAUCGUGUUAAUCUCUUCUGCAUGGUCUGGACAUUG